rnacentral:rRNA from 1 species
UAGGGGCCAAGCGUUGUCCGGAUUCAUUGGGCGUAAAGAGCUCGUAGGCGGUUCGAUAAGUCGGGUGUGAAACCUCCAGGCUCAACCUGGAGACGCCACCCGAUACUGUCGUGACUAAAGUCCAGUAGGGGAGCGUGGAAUUCCUGGUGUAGCGGUGAAAUGCGCAGAUAUCAGGAGGAACACCAGCGGCGAAGGCGGCGCUCUGGGCUGGAACUGACGCUGAGGAGCGAAAGCGUGGGGAGCGAACAGG